GUAACGUCAAGACACAGGGGUAUUAUCCCUAUGCUUUUCUUCUCUACUGAAAGUGCUUUACAACCCGCAGGCCUUCUUCACACACGCGGCAUUGCUGGAUCAGGGUUUCCCCCAUUGUCCAAUAUUCCCC
rnacentral:rRNA from 1 species